rnacentral:rRNA from 1 species
UAGUCCACGCCGUAAACGAUGAGUACUAGCUAUUGGGGGUAUUGACUCCCUCAGUGGCGCAGCUAACGCAUUAAGUACUCCGCCUGGGAAGUACGGUCGCAAGACUAAAACUCAAAGGAAUUGACGGGGGCCCGCACAAGCGGUGGAUUAUGUGGUUUAAUUCGAAGCAACGCGCAGAACCUUACCUAGGCUUGAAAUCCCUCGAAUCCCGAGUAAUUUUGGGAGUGCCCGCAAGGGAAUGAGGUGACAGGUGCUGCAUGGCUGUCGUCAGCUCGUGUUGUGAAAUGUUGGGUUAAGUCUCGCAACGAGCGCAACCCCUAUCUUUAGUUGCCAGCAUUAAGUUGGGCACUCUAGAGAGACUGCCCGGGUUAACCGGGAGGAAGGUGGGGACGACGUCAAGUCAGCAUGCCCCUUAUGUUCUGGGCUACACACGUGCUACAAUGGUUAGGACAAAGAGUCGCCAACUUGCAAAAGUGAGCUAAUCUCGUAAACCUAAUCUCAGUUCGGAUCGCAGG